AGCCGCGUAGUGAGAGCCGGGAGUCUUCCUUAGCUUCCCCGCCAUAGGCGUCUUUUCGUAGCCGGGCUGCUCCGGGGAAGGCCUCGUACAGCAUGCAUUCACCAGAAUCCUGUCGGCUUUCCUCUUCUCAUCCAGACGCCUGGCCAGAAUCCUAGAUAAGACUGUGACCCCCAACUUGGACACUCCAUAAGCUUUGUUGUCAAAAACUUGUUGGCUACAAGGAAUUAAAUGUAAAAGGGAAAGGAAGAAAGAAAACACAGAUCAGAGAAGCUGUGCCUUUGAGGAAACAAAUCCUCUUAAGGGGAGGAAGUGUCCUCUUUGAUCUGAGGGCACCCCUCUGGGAGAGAGGCCAGGGGCUGACAGUCAGCUUCGCCAGGUGGGUCACCCGCCCUGGGAAGAGCUGCACCCACCACUGAGGUCCAGGUGGCGCCACCAGUCCCGAAACACCUGCUGCCUUACUCUGGAAACAGUAGGCAAGUUGCUCCCUCUAGUGGCUUAGUAGUUGCUUGGCCUAUUUACUCAGAACCUUGAACAAUUAAGCAAGUCAAAUACAAAUGGUCCCUCCCUUCUGAUGGUUCCACUUAGGACUUACUGAUUUCACUGAUGGGUGAGGACAGCGAUAUGCAUUCUGCAGAAUCUGUAUUUGGAGCCCCCAUACAACCAUUCUGCAUUUCACUUUCAGUACAGAUUCAAUAAAUUACAGAAGAUACUCAACACUUUAUGAU